UUGAACUGUUUGCAGCAAAGUUCAUUGCAAAAUCAUCCCCUCGGGGUCGACCCCUCCCCUCCUCCCUCGUUGCAUUUGUGUAACGUUGCCCGGAACAUUCCUCCGUGUUGCUGUACUUUUCCCCCUCCUGCCUAGUUGUUUUUCUUGGGACAACGUGACCUUUGCACUUGUUCCUGCCGGAGGACAUAUGUUUUCAUCGGGCGUGCCGGCUUUUGCAUUUAAUUCUCUCUCACGCAGACAAGAGGGAUUAAAAAGCCAUCGGCCGCCGGGGAAUUGGAUUAUGGUGUGUUGCUAAUGAUGAAGUUCCACGCGACAAACGGGGGAGCCUCGUAAACAUCAAUCAACGCUCGAAAAGCUGGGCCAUCUGGUGAAGUGGAAUUACAUUAUCCAUGCACAUAUACGCUCCUCCUGCUUCUCCCAUCUUGGCGCCGUGCUCAAGCUGACAGCAAGGAUCUGCUGAAGGAUAUACGAGGCUGAGGGGGAUUAAGGUGAACCCCAAGCUGGCUCCUGUCCAAAGUAUUCUUUGCCAAGGGUAAAAGUGGAAACCUUCUGCAAAUGAAGAAGACACUCCAUAAACGUAGCAGACAGUCAGCUCCAUUCAUCACUGGAGGGGCUCACAGGGCCCCUGGGUGCCCCCUGGCAAGUUCAAACCAGCAAUCCCCUCACUGGUGGAGCACAAAGAAGGUGACCCCGAGCUACAGCAAGGAGAAGGGUAAUAAUAAUAAUCAUCAUCAUCCCUCUGGGUGUAUCCAAGCGCUUGGAUGGAGAUGGCAAGGGCGGGCGACGGCAUUAAAGGCGUCCUCUUUUUGCCGAAUGGAUUUCUUUCAGCAUUUUAAAACAUCUGUGCGUGUGUGUGUGUGUGUGUGUGUGUGAGUGGAGUAUAGAAUGUCUGAGAUCAUCACUGUUGCAGGACAAUGAUUAGCACGUUUGUUGUCACCUACAAACAUUGGGUUCUCACGCUGUAGGUGUCAGUAGUCCAAAGUUUAUGGCUUGGCUGACAUUUCCAGAGCCAGUCAGUCCGUGUAAAAAGUUUGAGACCCCCUUUCUAACUUCAAUGGAGCAAGCUGAUUUGUGAUUUCAGGACGAACUAAAAUGGAAUGUUUUUUUUUUCCUGCAUUUGCUUUGUUGAUGCUGGCAUUUUCCAA